CGACAUUGAUUGGACGGUUAUCCUUGAUCCUUUAGGUCGGUGGAACGUCGUGUGCGAAAAGAGUCCCGAACGGAGUCCAGAGGGGGGCGGGCGCCUAGGCCCUCAGGGCGGGCGCCCUGGGCCUGGCCCCUUUCGGCCUCUGCUUUCUUCCCGUGGCUUCUGGAGUCUUCUAGAUGGUAGAAAAUUACGCGGUGUGUUGAUAUCUCUAUGUAAUCCCGACAUGUGGGCCUUUCUUCCUUAUUUCCUGAUAACCCCCUGCAGAAACAGAUAAACAACAAAACUCGUAGAAUUCUGUCAGAUCAAACCCUAAUUCUAGGUGUUGGUUGCAUAUUGGUCCUUUCUCUUGUUUAUUUGAUAAUUAAAAUUGAUACUUAAGAACCGUCAACAAAUACCCCCAUACUUAGGCUUUUACUCGUCCUCGAGAAAAGGAUGGUUAAGAACAAAAUCUGGGGUAAAACAUUUUAAAACAUUCUCUUCAUAACUGCAGGGUGUUAAAAUCCAUUGUGUACUAUAGUCAAGGAAGUAUAUGGUUAAGAGUAAAUAUCCUUUCUUCUCAAUCCUGUCACUUGGAGUUUUUGUAUAUUUUUGAAAGAAAGUAAGCAUACGUUUUAUCCUCAAAGGUCUUCUCAGAUCACUCAUUAUUUUAUAUAUAUCUCACUGAGGCUGUUUUAAUUUGCAAAAAUUCUCAAGCAUACUUACUUUGCAUUUAUUGCCUGAUCAAAACGGGAUCCGAUGAGGGGAAUGUCAUACUCUUAGAUCAAAGACUUUGGAAAUUAAAAUCUUUGUCAACUCUUGCUGGCAUAUUGCUUAUUAGAGGGACCAUGGGCUAUCAUUUUCUUUUUCUUCUCUUUUUUUUAAGUGGAUACCGAGGUACCCCUAAUUCUACAGCCGGACACUUGUCCAUUUUUUUCUGUGAGGUUAUCGAGCACUUGCUCCUUUUUAUUUCCUCGAAAUAUCUUUAUUUUUGCAUAGCCCAUGCCUCUAAUGCAAUAAUACUUCGGAAGAGUGAAUCUUUCUGAAUAAAUGUCUUGAUCUUAGGAGCAUGAUAAAUCUCUCAACAAGGGUCUAACUCAUUUUGAACAAACUCAAUACAGAGUAGAUAGCUUUUAUAACCAUAAUAAAUAUUUUCAGUUUUAUUAGGCAUAUAAAACACUGACGAUGGUAGCUAGAAUUUUGAAGAUUUUGAAAUAAAUUUUCCAAGCAACAAUGAUAUCAAGAGUAAGAAACUCAUACUCUACCAUCUCACUUUCCAUACUGUCUUAAGCAACACAGGGUUUUAAAAUGAUUUUAUAAUAGUUGCAAGUUUUCAGGAAAUAUCACAGAGUGAGAUUAAUCAUAUUUAGAAACAUUUUAAUAUUUUUAAUUUAUCAUGUCGGAAACAAUAUUCUGCAUAAUCCAAGAUAUAUGUAUGUGUAAAGUGUGCAGAGUAUGUACCUGAAUUGUGGAGUGGUGUAGUCGAAGUGUGUUUGGCAUGUCAAGGGAUCUCCCCGAUACCUGUUUUCUGCUUUCUUGCACAAAAAUAAAGUAGAGACACACAAGACAUAAUAAUAAUAAUAAUAAUAAUACUCUUUAUUAAUCUUGAGGCAUUUAUUACAAAUAACUAGUAGCAAACUGAUGAUAGUAAUAACAAACUGAUGAUAAUAGUAAAUCUAAACCGAAUUUCAAGAUAGAUAACUAAGAUUCAUUGCCUCAAGGUCUAAUCUAGAUAACUUAGUAGCGCUCUAAUUCCUUAAUCUUCCUAUUGGCACUGGCAAGAUCCUGCCUAAGGCCUAGUAUAAUGGUGUUGUGGUCACAGAGCUGCCUAGUGAGGGAAUUAAUCGAGGACUGGAGGUCUAUGAUAACUCUGUCUAGCCUGCGAACGUCCUCAUCAAUAUCUACUAUAGUCUUGCGACGCUUGGGAGGUGUCUCAAAAGCAUUGAGAGCAUGCUUCGGGGCUGCCUUUGGAGGGAUGAAACGGACUUUGGCUGCUCUAAUCCCUUCAAAGUAAGGCCUUUCCUCCUCCGUAGUGUAGCGUAUACUGCUGAUCUCGCCGCUCCAGCUGGUCUUGACUCCAACGACCCUCUCAUUGGGUCUAGGUGGAAGGAUCCUCGUGCCGGUUGGCACCUUGAUGCUGGUCUUUGUCUUGGAUGAUGAUCCCUUGAGGAGUAGGGGUUGUGGCGGUGCGGUGAGAACUGGUUGAGCAUGAUAGGAUUGGGCGGAGCUGCGUUGGCGUGAUUGCAUGGCUUCUAGCUAUCGCUCUGUGUUGGCCGUGACGAGAGCACGGGCAUCAGGGUCUUCCGCAGGCUCCAUGUUGAGGUUGAAGGGGACGACUUCCCAAUCAUCAUGGAACAUCUCGGCCAUUGGAGCAGCGAGGAACUAAUCAAGCUCUAAUUGAAGAAGAACAAAAGGCUUCAUGGUUUGGUGUUUGAAAACUGAUGUUAGGUGUCUGUUUAUAUAGGGGUCAAAAAGUGCCUCUAGGGGUUGUUCGGGUUGCUCCCGUCGAUGUGCGUGCGAAACUUUCCAUCUGAGGGAUUAUUCGGAUUACCAUUAGUGCAUUUUCCAUAACAGAGAAAAUCGGGACCAAGGGGGAACAGGAGCUGGGCGCCCGCCCACCUGAUCUGGGCGCCCACCCUCUCUCUGUCUCCUCUAUGGGCCCACUUCCUCGAGCGUGUUUCUAGAUGCAAAACUAUUUGGGAAAAUAUAUGUAUGACCCAAAAACGUCAUACUGAAAAGGUCGGGCUCUAAUUCUCCAUGGGAAGGAAAAAAUGGAUUACGUCUAUUUCUUCUAAUUCUUUAUUGGGCUCUAAAAACAAUUAAAGACGUUGACCAUUUACCUUGAAUAACGUACCUUCGUCAUUUUGAAGUGUGAUAGCCCCGUGGGAUGAUGAAUUAAUUACCUUGAAUGGUCCUUCCCAUUUGCUUCGGAGUUUUCCAUGCCCGAAAAGCUUCACCGUGGAAUUAAAAAGUAAUACCUUAUCUCCGGGUGUGAACUCCUUCUUGAUUCUCUUGUCAUGCCACCUUUUGACUCUUUCUUUGUAGAUCUUCGAAUUGUGAUAUGUUUCUCUUGCCAUUCUUCCAAUUCUGAUAGUUGCAUUCUUCUAUGAUCUCCAGCAACAUCUAGGUCCAUAUUCCAUCUUUUUAUGGCCUAGUGUGCUUUGAACUCUAGUUCAACAGGUAGAUGGCAAGUCUUCCCGUACACCAAUUGGUAUGGAGACAUUCCAAUUGGGGUCUUGUAUGCUGUCCAGUAUGCCCAGAGUGCAUCGGGUAACUUGUCUCUCCACGCCGUUCCCAUUUCUUUUACUGUCUUCUGAAGAAUAUUCCUGAUUUGCUUGUUGGAAGUCACUGCUUGGCCACUUGUCUGAGGAUGAUAGGGGGUAGCGACGUUGUGACGGAUUCCAUGUUUUGAUAGAUAUUGCUUGAAGCGUUUGUCGAUGAAGUGUGCUCCUCCAUCACUUAUCAAUACUCUGGGAACUCCAAAUCUUGGAAAUAUAAUUCCUUCAAACAUCCUCUUUGAACUGAUGUUGUCGGCAUGUUUGCAAGGUAAUGCCUCUAGCCACUUGGAGACGUAGUCAACUGCCACCAAGAUGUACACACACUUCUUUGAUGGAGGAAAUGGACCCAUAUAGUCUAUUCCCCAUACAUCACAGAGCUCAAUCUGAAGGUUGGUGGUGAGUGGCAUUGCAUCCCUUGUAUUUAGGUUUCCGUGCCUUUGACAUGGCCCACAUCUUCUGAUAUAUUGCUUCGUGUCUUCAUACAUUGUAGGCCAGUAGAAUCCACACUGCCAGAUCUUUGAAUAUGUACGGAAUGCUCCAUAAUGACUGUUGGGUAUUUUAAACGCAAACAGAAAAAUCCGCAAGCGCACGGAUACCGAUGUAGCCUUCACCCGGGAGUAUUCCAGAGUAUCGAUUUUCCACAGAGAACGUGAGUGUACUAAUUAAGAUCCAAGAUCGCCCAAGGAUAACUAUAUAAUUAUUUUUGGUGGGAAGAGAGGAAGUUUCCUGAGAGUUCUCUAGUUGAUCUAAGAAUCAAGAAUUACUUCAAGAUUAUCUAUUUCGGGACAUCAGAACACUAACCACAGAAAGAGAUGAGAAGGGGGCUAGGAAGCUCUGACUACGGUCCUACAAACACCGAUCCGAACGAGGUGGAAUACGUCGACCGUUAGGGCUGUCACUACCAUAGGGCUACCACAACAAUCCGCAGGAUUGGGUGCAAUUCCAGGUAAUUGCAAGACUAAACACCACGUCUAAUCUAUUAAUUACUACUCUAAUGUUGCAAAGAUUAGAGCACUUGAUGCAAGCAGGAAUCCAAUAAAUAACUUGAAUGUAAAUAAAAGUAAUUAAAGAACUCAGGAUUAUGAAUUGAAGAACCUGGAGAACGAUGAAGAACGAACCAGUUGCUGCAAAAGUACAAUGUUGAGGAAGAUCCGACAGAUCCGGCUCCUCCUCCGCUCUCCUCUUCUCUCUCCCUAUUUUCUAGAUUACAACUAGAACUAACUAGAACUAGAACUAGAUGAACUAGAACUAGAUCUAGAUGAACUAGAGGUAGAACUAGAAGAACUAGAGGGAUCCUCUCUACUUGGAUGAAGAAUUGAAACCCUAACUUUGAUUCUGUAGAAGAGGUAUGAUCUCCAGGGGCCAGGGGGGUCUGGUUUUAUAGUCCCUUCAAGUGAAUCUGGGCCGUCGGAUCAAACCGACAUUGAUCGUGUGGUUUUCCUUGAAGUAUUAGGUCGGUGGAGCAUAAUACGCGAAAUGGGUCCGAAUUGGACACUGUAGCUGGGCGGGCGCCCAGGAGAGUUGGCGGGCGCCCUGCCUCCGAGCUCGAUCGGCCUCCCGUUCGUUCCCGUGACUUCUGCAGUCUUCUAGAUGGUAGAAAAUUGCGCGGCACGUUAAUAUCUCUAUGUAAACCCGACGUGUGGGCCUUUCUUCCAUAAUUCCUGAUAACUCCCUGCAGAAAUAGACAAACACCAAAACUCGUGGAAUUCUGUCAGAUAAAACCCUAAGUCUAGGUGUUGGUUGCAUUUGGAUCCUUUUCCAUGAUUAGUUAACGGUUAAAUGUGAGCAUUAAGGACCGUCAACAAGCUCCCCCAAGCUUAACCUUUGCUCGUCCCUGAGCAAAGCUAAAAUCAGCAAGAAAACAGGGGUUACUUUUAUGCCUCUUACUACAGUCUUUUCAAGUUAUCACUAAAGUCUUAAGUGAUUGAAAAACAGAAUGAUCAAGUCAAGCACUAUGUCUCAAGUUCUUCUGUCUUACCUUUGUUCUGGAGUUUUUUUAUAAGUCUGCAAAAUAAAACUGAGGCAUUUGUCUUUUUCUCAAAAGAUUUAUAAGUAGAGCUUUAAAAGUUUUAGCAUACUUACUUUGCAUUUUGCUAUGUCAACGCUCGGAGUAAGGGAGAGGAAUGUCAUACUCCUAGAUCAAGACCUUUGACCUUUUUGAAAAGUUUGUCAUCUCUUACUGGCAUAUUGCUUAUUAGAGGGACCAUGGGCUAUCAUUUUUUUUCUCUUUUUUUUUCAGUCUCUCUUUUUUUUUUCAAGUGGGCAGCAAGUACCCCUAAUUCUACUGUCGGACACAUGUCCAUUUUUUUCCACUCAGGUGGGUAUCUUUGUACCCCUAAUUCCACUUCGGACACUUGUCCAUUUUUACCUCUCGUCUCACUCUUUUUUUCGAAUCAAGUUUUUGCAUAGUCCCAUGCCUCUAACGCAAUAAUACUUCGGAAGAGUGAAUCUUUUAUAUUUUUAAAACAAAAAGAUCUUGAUCUUGGGAGCAUGAUAAUUUUCUCAACCAAAACUACAAGAAUUAACAAUGGCUUGAACAAAGCAAGUGCCCACAGUUUUAAUAUUUAUAUCUUAUAAGACUCUAGGUAUUAUGAUCUCAUUUAUAUAUAUAUAUUUUUUUUAUGAAUUUUUAGAUUUUCAAAAGAUAAAAAUCUCCAGAACUCUAGCAAAACUUGGAACAAGUUAAAUAGUAGCUCAGACCUUCUCAUAUCAUGUUUCUCAAUUACCUAGACUUGAAUCAAACUUUCUUUUUAUUUUUAUUUAAAACUUAGGAUUACACAAAACUAUUGUAUAUUACUCAAAAGAAAAACUUUGUUUGGUUUUAUGGUUAUGCAUUUUUAUUUAUUUAUUUAUUUCCGAAUACUAGAAAAUAAAACCAAAGGAAGAAAAGUAAUACUUAUCUAGAUACACGUGGGGGUGCCUCCCCCAAGCUGGAUGUUGACAUAGUCGUUCACUCUUGUGGCCUGCAUGUUCGGUCUCACUCUUCUUAAGCUUCAAAAUCCUGCACAACCCAAAUAGACAACAAAACUCAUGGAACAUGUUAAGUGUUAGGUAAUUGUCUAGAGCUUAUGAGAGCUUAAUGUGAGAAUUCUAUGAACUCCAUCACAUCAAGUUCCUCUACCAGGUUGUUUUGUGGCUCGAGAUAGAUUUUCAAGCGUUGACCAUUUACUUUAAAAGUGUUACCUAUGUCAUCUUGGAUGGUAAUAGCUCCAUGAGUUGAAGUGUCAAUAACCUUGUAUGGUCCAACCCACUUACUUCGUAGCUUACCAUGACCAAAGAGCUUAACUCUUGAAUUGAAUAGUAGAACCUUAUCUCCAGGCUUAAACUCCUUGUGCUUGAUUCUCUUAUCAUGCCAUCGUUUUGUUCUCUCUUUAUAGAUCCUUGAAUUGUGGUAGGCUUUCUCUCUCCAUUCUUCUAACUCAGAUAGUUGCAUCAGACGAUUCUCGCUAGCGAGAUGGAGAUCCAUGUUCCAUUUCUUGAGUGCCCAAUGAGCCUUAAAUUCUACUUCCACAAGCAAAUGACAAGUUUUUCCAUAUACAAGUUGAUAAGGUGACAUGCCUAUGGGUGUUUUGAAUGCAGUUCUAUAUGCCCAAAGUGCAUCAGGAAGUUUGUCCUUCCAUCCCUUACCCAUCUCAUCUACGGUCCUUUGUAAAAUAUUUUUGAUUUGUUUGUUAGAUGUUUCGGCUUGACCGCUAGUCUGAGGAUGGUAUGGUGUUGCGACGUUGUGUCGAACUCCAUGAUCGGCUAGGUACUUCCGGAAGAUUUUGUCGAUGAAGUGGGAACCUCCAUCGCUUAUAACUAUUCGGGGUAUACCAAAGCGAGGAAAGAUUACUUCAUGGAACAUUCUCUUGGCAUGUUUUGAAUCAGCUGAUCGACAAGGUAGGGCUUCUACCCAUUUGGAUACGUAGUCCACAGCUACUAAGAUAUACUCGCAAUUCCCGGACAUAGGGAAUGGCCCCAUGAAAUCAAUGCCCCAAACAUCGAAAAGUUCUACUUGAAGAUUAUUUGUGAGAGGCAUUUCAUUUCGUGAGUUAAUAUUCCCAUGUUUUUGACACCAGUGGCAUCUCCUGACAAAGUCCUUUGUAUCUUCAUACAUCGUUGGCCAGAAAAAACCACUUUGCCAAAUUUUAGCAUGUGUCCGGAAUGCUCCAUAGUGUCCUCCAUAUGGCGAGGCAUGGCAUCUUUCCAUAAUUUGAGUAGCCUCAACCAUAGGAACACACCUUCUCAAGAGUCCAUCAGCGCAGACUCGGAAAAGAUAUGGCUCAUCCCAAAGGUGGAAACGACUAUCGUGAAGCAACUUCCUUUUGUUUGCACCAGGUGGGACAUAGCCUUUUACUAUAAAGUUUACGAUGUCUGCGUACCAUGGAUCUGCAUGUGUUAUCUUAAGUAGGGUGUCAUCCCUUAGGUAGUCAUUUAUGGGAAGCUCAUCAUGUGUUUCCUUAUAUUGAAGCCUAGACAAGUGGUCGGCUACAGAAUUCUCAACUCCCUUCCUAUCUCGGAUUUCUAUGUCAAAGUCUUGGAGUAGAAGAAUCCACCGAAUUAGACGAGGCUUAGCAUCUUUCUUAGUGAGGAGGUACUUGAGAGCAGCAUGGUCUGAAUAGAUGAUUAUCUUUGCCCCCACUAAGUAAGAUCUAAACUUGUCUAUAGCAAAGACAACAGCCAAAAGCUCUUUUUCAGUUGUAGUGUAAUUGAGCUGUGGUCCAGAUAAGGUUUUGCUAGCGUAGGAUAUGGCAUAAUGCAUUUUAUCCUUGGUUUGUCCUAAAACGGCACCAACCGCAAAAUCGCUAGCAUCACACAUGAUCUCAAAAGGAAGAUUCCAAUCAGGUUGUUGGAUAAUCGGGGCUGAGAUGAGUGCUUUCUUAAGAGUUUGAAAAGAUUCAUGACACUCAUCAUUAAAGAUGAAAGGUGCGUCCUUAGCUAGGAGAUUAGUUAGGGGUCUAGCAAUUUGAGAGAAAUUCUUGAUAAAGCGUCUAUAGAACCCUGCAUGUCCCCAAAAAGCUACGGAUUCCUUUCACAUUCGUGGGAGGUGGAAGUUUUUCAAUAACUUCAAUCUUUGCUUUGUCCACCUCUAUACCACGUUCGGACACUUUAUGUCCUAGCACUAUUCCUUCCUGAACCAUAAAAUGGCAUUUCUCCCAGUUCAGGAUUAAGUGCUUUUCUUCACAUCGCUGCAAGACUCUAUCUAAAUUCUCCAAACAAUGAUCGAAGGUUUUGCCAUAGACGGUAAAAUCAUCCAUGAAAACCUCCAUGAUCUUCUCAAUCAUGUCCGAGAAAAUAGACAUCAUGCACCGUUGGAAAGAAGCUGGAGCAUUGCACAAUCCGAACGACAUUCGUCGGUAUGCAUAAGUUCCAUAUGGGCAUGUAAAGGUAGUCUUUUCUUGGUCAUCUGGGUGGAUUGGGAUUUGGUGAUAUCCAGAAUAACCAUCAAGGAAACAAAAGAAAGAGUGGUUUGCAAGCCGUUCCAACAUUUCAUCAAUGAAGGGUAACGGAAAGUGAUCUUUCUUUGUAGCCUUGUUGAGUUUUCGAUAGUCAAUACACAUACACCACCCAGUGACAAUUCGUUGAGGGAUGAGUUCAUUUUUCUCAUUCCUAACGACCGUCAUUCCUCCUUUCUUUGGCACUACUUGGACAGGGCUAACCCACUCACUAUGUGGCACAGGAUAAAUAAUCCCAGCACGAUAGAGUUUGAGGACCUCUUUCUUAACAACCUCUCGCAUAGCAUUGUUAAGUCUCCGCUGCGGCUCCCUUGAAGGUGUAGAAUUAGGAUCAAUAGGGAUACGAUGAGUGCAGAGAAUGGGACUAAUGCCCGUGAGAUCUUCGAGAGAGUAGCCAAAUGCUGAUCUAUGCCUUUCAAGUACAAUGACAAGUUGUUGUGUUUCACAAUCGGAAAGCUUGUCACUGAUAAUUACUGGAGUGUUUGGGUUGUUGUGCAAGAAGAUAUAUCUAAGGCCAGAAGGAAGAGGUUUUAAUUCUAUCGAAGGAGGUGAAGGUAGUUCAUUUUUGUCUAGCUCAACGGGUUCUACCAACUCUUCUUCUUCUUGAACAAAGUGUUCAUGAUUAAAGAAUGGUUGGGUCAUCUCCUCUUGAGUCAGCACUAAGAUCUCCUCAAUAGGAUCUGGUUCAAGCUUGGGUUCCACUAUCGUGUUAACUGAUCUAGCAAGAGGAACAACAAUAGUGGAAUUCCCAACUUUGAAGUCUAAAUGACCUCGUUGUGGUUGUUCUUGUAGAAGUUUCAUGAUUGGUCUACCAAUCAAGAGAGGAAUCUCCAGUAUGUCAUAAAUGUGAAAAUCUAGACAUAUUCCAGAGUCCUUGAUUCUAACAGGAACUGCCCUUAAUACCCCAUGGCUUUCUAGAAUUAAUCUAGAUGGACAUUGUAAAAGUUUUUGGGAUGGAGUUAUGGACUCGUUGGGAUAAAGAGUGUCAGCUAGCUCCUUGGAAAUAACAUUUAUCCCAACAUAUGGAUUGUAGUGGACCUUCCUAGCGGACCUUCUAAUUUGGCAUAGAAGAAUGGUUGAAGGAGUGAUGAUUCGAGCUACCUCAAGAGACAGCUCUGCUUCUGUUAGCCAUUCAUAACUCAGAAUAGCCGAUAGGCUUUUGAUGUGUUCUAUGUCAACAGAUUCUACUCUUAGAAUGGAUUGAGUGGUCCUUGCUAGAGGUCGUGUUUGGAUAGGAAAAUUCGAGGUGUUUCCAUAAUCUUCAAAAAGAUCUUCCUCGAAUUCAAAGGGAUGCUCUAAAGGUGGUGGUUCAUCAUCCCUUAGUUGGUUUUGCAUUCCUUUAUCAGGAGGUUUCUCUACAACCAAAUUAAUGGAUGGGUCAGGUGGAAUUUCUAACUCGGUUGCAAGUUCCUCAUCUUUUGGUUUAGGAUCAGGCUCGACUUCUUUUUCUCCUUCAGGAAACUCAUCAUAAAUGCCUGUGUAAGGGGUAUUUUCAAGAAUUCUUUCUAGGAUAGCUCUCCCCUCAUCUGUGAGUUUGUGUGUGAAUGAGCCUCCUGAAGCAAUGUCGAGGUGAAGAGCAGCCUCCUUGCUUAGACCACGAUAAAAGUGGUAGUACAGUACAUGGUCAGGCAGGGAAAGGUUUGGACCGAAAUUGGUAAGGCUUGUGAACCUAGCCCAAGCUGCUCCUAAAGUUUCCUUCUCUCCUUGUUUGAAUGUAAGAAUUUCGAUUCUAAGGUCAGCGAUUCGAAAGAGUGGGAAGAAAGCGAGACAAAAGUUGUCCCGAAGUUCGUCCCAGUUUCCAUUAACGCCUCCUACAGAAUGAGCAUACCACUUCUUUGCUCUUCCCAAAAGGGAGAACGGAAAUAAUUUCCAUUUAAGGGUUUCUUGUGUCAUGCCAGAAAUAGAUCGGCAAGAGCGCAACUGCUCGAAUUCUCUAAGGUGGGUGUAAGGAUCUUCAUCUACUUGUCCAGAGAAGGGUUGCUCCUGAAUCAUGGCUAUUAGAUCAGGGCCGAGGUCGUAGCCAUCUGUAAGAAUUGGAUGUGAUGAUGGUGGUGGCUCUAAUAACUCACCCUUUGGAGCAAAUAAUUUAUAGAUAGGAGUGAAAUCCAUGUGGUGUGGUGCAAAUGGUAAGGUGAGUGUGGUAAAAAAAGGAAAAGAAGAUGGAUACAUGGACGACUUGGUUCGAAACUAGCACAGCUACCGUUCCCCGGCAACGGCGCCAGAAAGCUUGUUGGGUAUUUUAAACGCAAACAGAAAAAUCCGCAAGCGCACGGAUACCGAUGUAGCCUUCACCCGGGAGUAUUCCAGAGUAUCGAUUUUCCACAGAGAACGUGAGUGUACUAAUUAAGAUCCAAGAUCGCCCAAGGAUAACUAUAUAAUUAUUUUUGGUGGGAAGAGAGGAAGUUUCCUGAGAGUUCUCUAGUUGAUCUAAGAAUCAAGAAUUACUUCAAGAUUAUCUAUUUCGGGACAUCAGAACACUAACCACAGAAAGAGAUGAGAAGGGGGCUAGGAAGCUCUGACUACGGUCCUACAAACACCAAUCCGAACGAGGUGGAAUACGUCGACCGUUAGGGCUGUCACUACCCUAGGGCUACCACAACAAUCCGCAGGAUUGGGUGCAAUUCCAGGUAAUUGCAAGACUAAACACCACGUCUAAUCUAUUAAUUACUACUCUAAUGUUGCAAAGAUUAGAGCACUUGAUGCAAGCGGGAAUCCAAUAAAUAACUUGAAUGUAAAUAAAAGUAAUUAAAGAACUCAGGAUUAUGAAUUGAAGAACCUGGAGAACGAUGAAGAACGAACCAGUUGCUGCAAAAGUACAAUGUUGAGGAAGAUCCGACAGAUCCGGCUCCUCCUCCUCUCUCCUCUUCUCUCUCCCUAUUUUCUAGAUUACAACUAGAACUAACUAGAACUAGAACUAGAACUAGAUGAACUAGAACUAGAUCUAGAUGAACUAGAGGUAGAACUAGAACUAGAGGGAUCCUCUCUACUUGGAUGAAGAAUUGAAACCCUAACUUUGAUUCUGUAGAAGAGGUAUGAUCUCCAGGGGCCAGGGGGUCUGGUUUUAUAGUCCCUUCAAGUGAAUCUGGGCCGUCGGAUCAAACCGACAUUGAUCGUGUGGUUUUCCUUGAAGUAUUAGGUCGGUGGAGCAUAAUACGCGAAACGGGUCCGAAUUGGACACUGUAGCUGGGCGGGCGCCCAGGAGAGUUGGGCGGGCGCCCUGCCUCCGAGCCCGAUCGGCCUCCCGUUCGUUCCCGUGACUUCUGGAGUCUUCUAGAUGGUAGAAAAUUGCGCGGCACGUUAAUAUCUCUAUGUAAACCCGACGUGUGGGCCUUUCUUCCAUAAUUCCUGAUAACUCCCUGCAGAAAUAGACAAACACCAAAACUCGUGGAAUUCUGUCAGAUAAAACCCUAAGUCUAGGUGUUGGUUGCAUUUGGAUCCUUUUCCAUGAUUAGUUAACGGUUAAAUGUGAGCAUUAAGGACCAUCAACAAUGACCUCCAUAUGGUGAUGAAUGACAUCUGUCGAUGAUCUUCCAUCCUUCCUCAGUGGUCACACAUCUCCUGAGUAAGCCAUCAAAGCAUACUCGGAAGAGGUAUGGCUCAUCCCAUAUAUGUGAACGACUUUCUUGAAUAAGCUUCUUCUUGUUUGCUCCUGGCGGUACAUACCCUGAAACCAUAAAAUUAACAAUAUCUACAUACCAGGGGUCAGACCUGUUAAUCCCGUAGAGCAUGUCGUCUCGGAGUGAAUCAUUGAUGGGGGUUUCCUGUGGACUUUUAAAAUACAUUCUAGACAAGUGAUCAGCAACAGAAUUUUCUACUCCCUUUUUAUCUUUUAUUUCUAAGUCAAAUUCUUGGAGUAAUAAGAUCCAUCUAAUCAGGCGAGGUUUAGCAUCUUUUUUAGUGAGCAAAUAUUUUAGUGUAGCAUGAUCAGUGUAAACAAUUAUUUUAGCACCAACUAAAUAAGAUCUAAAUUUAUCAAUGGCAAGGACAACAGCCAGAAGCUCUUUUUCAGUGGUUGCAUAGUUAAGUUGAGCUCCUGUCAAAGUUUUACUGGCAUAAGCAAUUGCAUGAUGCUUCUUAUUUUUAGUUUGCCCCAAAACUGCCCCCACAGCAUAAUCACUAGCAUCACACAUAAUUUCAAAAGGCAACGACCAAUCAGGGGGUUGAAUGAUUGGUGCAGAGAUGAGUGCUUUCUUUAAUAAAUUAAAAGAUGUUAGACAUGCAUCAUCAAAUUCGAAAGGAGCAUCCUUGGCUAGCAAAAGAGUAAGUGGUCUAGCAAUGAAUGAAAAAUCUUUUAUGAAUCUACGAUAAAACCAGCAUGGCCAAGAAAGCUUCGAAUUCCUUUUAUAUUCACAGGUGGAGGUAGUUAUUCAAUUACUUCAAUUUUAGUUUGUCUACCUCAAUACCUCUUUCAGACACUAGGUGUCCUAGCGCUAUUCCUUCCCUAACCAUGAAAUGACAUUUUUCCCAAUUAAGGACUAAGUGCUUUUCUUCACAUCUUUGCAAAACCUUGUCUAAAUUUUCAAGACAACUAUCAAAAGUUUUUCCAUAAACAGAGAAAUCAUCCAUGAAAACUUCCAUAAUCUCUUCAAUCAUAUCAGAAAAUAUAGACAUCAUGCAUCUUUGAAAAGAAGCUGGUGCAUUACAUAACCCAAAAGACAUUCUAUGGUAAGCAUAAGUUCCAUAUGGGCAUGUAAAAGUGGUUUUGCUUUGAUCAUCGGGAUGGAUCAGGAUCUGAUGAUACCCUGAAUAUCCAUCUAAGAAACAGAAGAACGAAUGGUUCGCUAAUCGCUCUAGCAUCUCAUCUAUGAAAGGUAAAGGAAAGUGAUCCUUUCUCGUGGCUUUGUUUAGUUUUCUAUAGUCUAUGCACAUCUGCCAUCCUGUGACGGUGCGUUGCGGAAUUAGCUCGUUCUUUUCAUUCAUAAUAACAGUCAUGCCUCCCUUUUUAGGCACAACUUGAACUGGGCUCACCCACUCACUGUGCGGCACAGGAUAUAUAAUCCCUGCAUGCAGCAACUUUAUAACUUCCUUUUUAACUACCUCUCUCAUAGUGUUGUUAAGUCUACGUUGGGGUUCACGAGAAGGUGAAACAGAACGAUCUGUUGGAAUACGACGGGUAUAAAUCAUAGGACUGAUUCCUGUAAGAUCUUGGAGUGAGUAGCCGAAAACUGAGUGAUGUUUCUCGAGAAUGGUCAUUAAUCGCAGAGUUUGCUCCUGAGUGAGUUUAUCGCUAAUGAUCACAGGAAACUCUAGAUUAUUGUUUAGGAAAGCAUAGAUAAGACCGGGUGGUAAAGUUUUAAGCUCUAUGGGGGGUCUAGGUGUUUCUGCAAACUCAUCUAAGGGUUCAGGUUCAGAAGGUUCGGCUUCUUCUUCUAUGAAGAAAGGAGUUUCGUCUUCGAAGUCUGAUUCUUCUAAAAGUUCAAGAGAUGCAGCCUUUACCUCCUCCAUAGGAUCAGGCAAAAGAUAUGACUCGGCCUUAUUGUUUAAGGAGUGUGAAAUUGUUAUUGGGAUGUUAAAAGCUUUUCCAAAAGAAAUGUGUACCUUUUCAGUAUGACCUUCAUAAAGGAGUCUUCUAAAAGGUUGUCCCAUCAACACGUCGAAGUCCCAUGUAUCAAAGAUAUAGAAGUUCAAAUGAACCAUGGAGCCUUCUACCGUAAGAGGUAGGACAUUAAUAAUUCCAACACUGGGGACUAAUCGUCCCGAAGAUUCCUUUAUGACCUUUGUUGUGGGGGUUAAGACAAGAUUUUUAAAUAGUUUAAGUGUAAAAGAUUCAGACAUUAGAGAGCAUUAAAUCGAUCAGAAUUAUAAGCACAGCGUAUAGUUAUAGAGGGUGUGUCCAAACGGAUCACAUCAGAGGAAAGCUCUGAUUCGUCCAACCACUCGCUACUCAUGACUGAGAUAAGCUCUCUCAAUUGAUAUUCACUUGGCAAAUAAAUGCUAAACUGUCCGUUUUGGGGUUUGUCAGUAGAAUGGUAGUUUGAAAUGUUUCCAAAAUCGGCAAAAAGAUCGGAUUCUAUAUCCAGCAUGAAGUCCGGUGGUGGAAUUUCUUCCUCUUGUGGCUCAGAACCUGGGAUAGCUAAAGUAGAUGAAGAAUUUGGCAGAGUGUCUACUUCGGCUUCCUAGGUUUCAUCAUGAAGGGUAUUAUCCAUCUCAGCUUCUAGGAUUCUAUCUAGGAUCACUCUAGCUUCAUCAGUAGGGAUGCGAAAGAAAGAACCUCUAGACUUUGUGUGUUGCAUUUGUUUGUGAAAGAUUAAGGUUUGGACCAGAUUCUAAAAGAUCAGAAAAAUGUUUCCAGGAUUUUCCCAAAGUUUCAUUAUCUUUUUGUUUAAAAGAUAGGACUUCGAGUCUAAGGUCGCCAAUACGGUCGAGGGAAUAAAAAUCUAGACAAAAGUUGGCUCGUAAAACUCCCCAUUCACCUCGUUGUUGACUUACCUUCUGACUGUACCGUAGUCUAGCUUCUCCCCUUAAGGAAAAAGGAAAAAGCUUCCAACGUAAAGUUUUAUCAGAAAUGCCUUCAAUGCGAAGACAAUCACAUGUUUGCUCAAAAUCUCUAAUAUGAAAGUAAGGGUUUUCGUCUUCCUUUCCCGAAAAAGAUAGGUUUUGAAUCAUGGAAAUCAACCUAUAACCAAACCUAUACUGGGAUGUUUGGAUAGGCUGUGAUGACUCCCAUGGUAAAAGGUCAGUUACUGAAGGGAAUGCAGAUUCAUGGAUCGAUUUAGAAUUUUGGUUUUCGAUAAGAUAAGAGUAAAGAAAAUAAAUACAGAAUAUAAAAGAUAAGAAAAGAUAAAAGUAUAGAUACAAGCUAGUAGUAAGACUCAAGGUUAUCUUAGCAAACCGUAUUUAUACGGCGCCAGAAAUGCUUAUUGAUAUUUGGGAACGCAAUAAGGAAUUGAUCCGCAAGCGCACGGAUAUCGGUGAGCAAUUCACCCGGAAAGUUAUCCAGAGUAUCGUAUUUAUUUUUUUACCACUAGGAGAAAGAGUGCAUCUGACUAACCCGGUCUAUUACUACUAACCCUUUAGGCAACAAAGAAUGUUUCUCGAUGUGAGUGAUAAAUAGAGAAGACUACAACCGUAAUCUCCUUCUAACCUUGGUAAGGAUGAUCUACUGUUCUAUUGGGGAGGCUAACGGAAUCUAGACACCACAGAGGAUGUUCAACCCGCACCUAUAAACCCUAUCCUUCCUGCUAACGAGAUAUGGUCUACAAAGGUAACUCGGAAAUAUCACGUUCCUCACUACUACCACGGUCUAGCUAGUUAGGGAAUAUCUAUGAGUAUCCUAGCUUAAACACCACGUCUACGCUAGAGAUGAUUACUCUAAACUCUACGCGAAGAGAUUAAAGUAAACUCAUAAACCAAAAGAACAAUAAAACAAGAACUUACUAGAAUUUAGAAGUCGAAAUACUGAAGAAUCCUAGGAGCAAGCCUCGGGUUAGGAGAACUUGAUCCCGCAGGUACAAGCUCGGAGUAGACACCGACAGGCCGGGCUUCCUCCGAUCUACACCUCCACUCUAUCUCUCUUAAUCUAGUAGAAACUAGAAGAUCUAUUUCUACUUACAUUGGUUGCUAAGCCUAAAAAGAAAUUUUAUUUAGAUAAAAGGUUCUCCUUCGAGGGAUCCCCUCAACUCUAUGAUAAACUUGUCUCCUCCUGGGGCUAGGGGGUCUGGUUUUAUAGUCCCCUCAAGUGAACGUGAGCCAUUGGAUCAAACCGACAUUGAUUGGAUGGUUAUCCUUGAUCCUUUAGGUCGGUGGAACGUCGUGUGUGAAAAGAGUCCCGAACGGAGUCCAGAGGGGGGCGGGCGCCCAGGUCCUCAGGGCGGGCGCCCUGGGCCUAGCCCCUUUCGGCCUCUGCUUUCUUCCCGUGGCUUCUGGAGUCUUCUAGAUGGUAGAAAAUUAUGCAGUGCGUUGAUAUCUCUAUGUAAUCCCGACAUGUGGGCCUUUCUUCCUUAUUUCCUGAUAACCCCCUGCAGAAACAGAUAAACAACAAAACUCGUGGAAUUCUAUCAGAUCAAACCCUAAUUCUAGGUGUUGGUUGCAUAUUGGUCCUUUCUCUUGUUUAUUUGAAAAUUAAAAUUGAUACUUAAGAACCGUCAACACAUGGCAUGAGCCAUGGCAUACUCCAAGGAGUCAAUCCCAACCCUUGGAUCCAAGUGUGCUUGCCCUCAAUGGUUCAACACUUAGCACAUGGAUCCUUGGGCCCACAUGGAAGCAAACGAGUGUGCAACCAGACUCAACUUUGGAGAACACUUCACAUGACAAGUGGGGACACCACCAAGAUGCUAAUGGUGGGCCACGUGCCCCAAUGGUCGGUCGGCCGACCGACCAAUCGGGUCAUGCCACCUGGCCCAGCCUCCCACUGAACUAAGGACCUUCCAGAAGGUCAGUGGGACCCACUGUCAUCCAAAUGUCAGAUCGGUCGACCUACAUGUGGGCCCCAUCUUGUGUCAGUUCACUCCCACUGACGUCCCCAUGAUGAACAUGUGAUGGAAAUCCCCAACCAUUGAUCAUAUGGCGGUUCCAAGGUCGGUUUAUCCAACGGUGCAUGCUGGAGGUCACGCGGAUUACUGAAGUGGUGCUGGAGUAGCCCCAACUCCAUCUCUCCCCUAUAAAUACCCCCUUAGAGAGCCUAGUUAAGCAUGAUGUAUCUUAGGAAGAGCUACUCUUAGCUAAGUUUGAGAAUAGAGGGAAGAGAGUGAGGAGUUCCCUAAGAAGGAGUCCCGGCCUGUCGGGAGUCUUCUUCCAGGAGCGCCUCAGUGGAUGCUUGUCUUCUAGUAAGUCUUCUUUCUAGUUGCCUUUCAUCUGAGUACUUCCAGUAUUUACUUUCUGUCUUAGUUUAUUUCAAGUAUACAACCGGCCUACUGGCACAUUGCUUUGCCUUGUGUGAAGUGCUCGAAAUCUUUGUUGGGUCUACAGUAGUAGAAUUAUUGUAGACGUGGUGUCUAGACUAAGUCUACCCUUGUGGACUUCUUGUCGCACCUGAAGAACGCCAAUAGAGAAGCAUGACAGGCCUUUGCUGGACAUUAGGAGUUCUCUUCAGUGUGUUGUUAUGCAAGUUGCAAAUAAUAGUUGGCCUGCAUGGUACCUGCAUAGGGAAGUGUUUCGCCACACCCUUUUCACCUAUCGGCCACAGUAGGAAGGGACUUAACUCUUAGUAUACUUAGGAUAGCUUAGCCAGAAGCCAAAUACUAGAAAUACCUCUCCACCCAAUCCUAAGCCCUUUGAUCAUCAUCCGACAACUCAAUUGGUCUAGUUAAUCCAGUUCUUGUUCCCCGUGGAAAAUACGAUACCAGGAAUACUCCUGGUGAAGUGCUACAUUGACCACUGUCCGCUUGCGGUGAAACCGUUUGCCACUUCUGGUGUCACAAGCAUUUCUAGUGCUGUGCGAAGGACUGACAAUCCUAGGUAGUGACGCUAAGAAGAGUUAACAAAGAGUCAUUUGAAUUUUUCCAGAACCAAUGAAAAUGCAAGCAUUAAUAGUAUUAAGAAAGGGACGUCCUAGGAUUAGAUUGACAUCUUUACUAGUCCACAUGUCUAAUAUCAUAAAAUCACCCCUUUUCUCGUGAUCCUUGUCGGCUAGUCGCCGAGACAAGUCCAUCAUCUGCUCUUCUUGAGCAGCUUUUUCCAUGACCACCUUCUCGGCCUCUAUCCAAAGGCGGUCUACCACCCCGAUCAAGGCCUUGUUCUCGGCCAUGAUCCCCUCAAUUUGGUCGAAACAUCUUUUACGAUAUUUUGCUGUCUUAGUUGCAUCCUGCGGAUUACAUACAUCCAUACACACGUUACAAAGUUAUGAUAGCACUUUCUAUUUACAAGUUAGGAGGUCACUUACCAUCACUUCGCUGACAAGACGUUUGGCGGCUCAUUCCACUCUCUCCGCCUCUUCAACCUCUACGAUUUCCUCAUGACCAGCCCAGAGGUCCCCGUGCUGACGCUAGACGUAAAUGUGUUGGUGACCAUCAUGGGGAUGCCCCUGGAUCUCCUCCUCUUCGUCCUUGGAGUCGGCUUGGGCCUCCUCGCCCUGUGCGCUCCACCCCACCAUGGCCGAGGAUGUCAUCGGUCCCUUCCCAAGGUCAAGUGCGUUGUCUGGUGCUCUAACCUCGGCGGAUGGCUCCCCUACUUGAGCAAGGGAUGAAGGUCUGACCUCCUCUUCCACUUCACUGCUCAGUGGGGGAGCGCCCACAGCACUCUCUUCCCUGGUUGGGACAGCCGCAUCAAUCUCCUCCCGGGUCGGGGCAUCCGCAGUGACUUCUUCAACAGUCUGGGUAGCUGUGGGUUGAGCAGUAGGCUGAUCUGUGGCAGCUCCUCCCAUGGUGGCCUGCUCCAUGUUGGCCAGCUCAGAUGGCCUCGAGCCCAAAACAGCGAUGGGGUCAACAUCCGAGACGGUGCUACAAGAACCAUCCAAUUAUUAACAUGCUGGAAUUUUAACAUUGUGAAAGACAUAGUUGUAUCUUUCUACUUACAGGUUGGAGCUCCUAUGUGAUGUUGAGAAGAUCCUCCACCUGGCACGGCCGGUGGCCACUGCUGGUUUCGCCUAGUCUAGGCUCGCCUGCUCGACAAGGGCGUGUGUGGUGGGGGGUCUUUGGUAGCUCAUUCAACACGAGCUGGGACCGCUUCUGGGUGGCUCCUCCGCUUGCAAACCAGGGUUGGGGCCGCCUCCUCUUCCUCAUCGUCGUCAUCAAUGACUCAGAAUAGUCGUCGACGCUUCGACGACCGAGCUCCUGAGGCUGAGCCGUGGCUGCUUGAGGGUCCUUGCGCCGAUUCUCCUGGCGCCGCUCCUACUCGGGAUGGCUCUUGAGCCAUCGACCUCUUGCGGUUACCCUAUCAUCAGUGGUCAGUGUCGGUCGAUUGUCGUCUUCAUCACUGCUAGUGUAUUGGAAACACUGAGCAGCAUUGUCCAUAGGCGGUUCUACCCCCAUCGGGUGCUCCAUGCCAGGAGCCAGUGAUACAUACACUGUCACCCGGUCAAUAUCUCCAAUCUGCAACGCGAUGAUAACAAGAUGUCAGCGGAAGAGAAUGACAGUCAAAAAAAUGGCAAGAUGAGUAAAUUCAUUCCUUACCUUCGGAGCUGGUCGACCCAAUUUGUACGCAUGCAUCCGGUUGUCGCUGCGUACGAAGCUGUUGUCCGCAAGAUUGAAUAGCUUGUUGAUCCAGCGCUAAAUUUCUGGCUUUUCUAGGUUGUCCUUGUGCAUCCUGGUCGAGUCCUGGCUUCCUUGGUACUCAUAGGCCGAGUGGACCCUCCUCUGGCAUGGCAGAACUCAUCGGCUAAGGAAGUUGCCGAUGACGCCAGGACCAUCCAAACACGACCACUCGAUCAGGUUCAUCAACUCUUCCACCUGAUCGGUGUACUCUGGUUGGUCUGUCUAGCUGGUCCUCUUCUCUAGAAUGUAGGCAACGUCGCAGAACGUGGUACUCCCUGGCUCUUCUCGAAUAUAGAACAACCUCCUAUACCAUUCAGUAAGGGAUGUGUUCUAGGGGCAGCUGAGAUAGCGGUUCUUCAUCCCGUCAUGCAGAUUGAGGUAUACUCCACCUACAAUCUUGGAGCCUCCAACUACUCCUUUCCUUCUCAAGCAGAAAAGGUACCGAAACAAAUUGAAGUGUGGUUCGAUCCCCACAAAAGCCUCACAAAGAUGAAUGAUAGUUGCUACCAGAAGAAUCGAGUUUGGGUGCAGAUGGCAAAUCCCAAUCUCGUAGUAGAGAAGCAAGCCCUGAACAAAUGGAUGCUCCGACACCCCAAAACCCCUCUUAAAAAAUCUUCGAAGACAACAAUCUCACCGGCUUUGGGGUUUGGGUAGCUUUCUCCCACUAGCGCCCUCCAGCCGCCGAGCUCCUGGUUGUGAAGCAACCCCAUCUCGACAAGGUCGUUGAGGAAUUUGGGAGUGCACCGGGACUUCUUCCACUCCUUCACUAUCAUUUCAGCCCUCUUCUUGGAGUCACUCUUGUCCAUCUCGCUCAAGCAAGGACGAACUGGAUCUAGUGCACAAGGAAUGACCAAAGAUGACGAAGGCGAGAGGCUGGUAGGCAACUGCUGGAUGAAGAUCUAGCACUACACUUCGGCUAUUUAUAACGGAGGAACCACCUCUUCCACUUCCCAAAUCUUAGGGAACUGUGCGGUUUAUGCGGCAAGAAUGGUGUUUUAGUUUCCAAUUUCUGUUGCAGUAAAUUCAUCGCAUUUUUAAUGAUUGUUGGAACUACUUUUGUUUCGGUCCGCGUGAUGAACGGUCGUGCUGUCAGAUGGCACCCCUUUUCAUGCGCCAAACUGACAAGAUGGCCGGACGCCUUGUCACGUCACAAAUUAAUGAAGGGAUAUGAUGAUUCCAAAUUUAAACAAAUGGCUUUAUUGAGGUUAAGAGUUUGUUUGGAUUCAUUCAGAAGAUGGGGACUGCACCGACCACCGAGCACGAUAUGCUCGGGGACUGGUCGACCAGUCUGCCCAAUGAAGCGAGGGACUGCACCGACCACCAAGCGUGGUAUGCUCAGGGACUGGUCGACUAGUCUACCUAAUGAAGCUAGGGACUGCACCAACCACCGAGUACUGUAUGCUCGGGGACUGGUCGACCAGUCUGCUUAAUGUGACUGUGGACUGCAUCGACUACCGAGCACGGUAUGCUCGGGGAUUGGUCGAUUACUCUAUUUUUGAAGCAGAGGAUUUAUGUUGAUUAUUAAUUACAUACGAGUUGGCUCUGCAUACAGUUGAGGGGUGGUUUUAAUCUUUUAGACCUUGCUACAAGGUUCAUACUUCGCCUUCCAGCAAGCUCAAGGACUACAUCGGCACGAUGCAUCUGGCGAUGCAUCUCAGCAUCAAAAUUUUUAUGAGGAUUUUUAUUUUUUAGACCCUGGCACCACGUGACUACAUCACGUACUACCAGACUCGGGGACUAAGUGGGCACACUUCACCUUGCGGUGAGUAUGCUUGCUUUUUGAGACGCUACACUUUUCAAAAAAGUAAAGUUGGCACACUUCAUCAGGAAAGAAAUCUUUUUUAAUUAAGAGCACCCUGCAUUAUUCAAACAAACCUGCUUCUUCGACGUUGAUGUUGAUCAACUAUUUUUUGGGUUCGUAAAAAUACCGUUGCAACUGUUCGGGCAAUUUUCCUGCUGGUUGAAGACGUCGAGCAUCACUGGUCGAAGAAGUUCAAGAUGGCUUGUUACAUCAUAAUACAUGGAGCUCAGGGACUAGCUGGGGGGUAUAAACCCCUAUACCCUUAUGGCUAGGCUUGGGCCAGGAUAUUUGGCCCAUUACGAGACAGCUUGAGGCUUGAUCCAACUACCUGGAGUUUCACGCAAGGAAACAAGAUGUGGAGAUCAAGCAGGAUUCUAGUCGGUUAGAAUAGAGAUUGAUAUCGUAUUAUCUAUGGCAAUUGUAACCGACUAGGAUUAGUAUCUAGAUCUGUAACUCUUCCCUCUGGACUAUAUAAAGAGAGGCAAGGGACCCCCCAUUAGAGAACGCAACAUAAUUCAACUCAUCCCAGAUCAAUACAAUCAGACGCAGGUGUUGACGGUUCUUAAGUAUCAAUUUUAAUUAUCAAAUAAACAAGGGAAAGGACCAAUAUGCAACCAACACCUAGAAUUAGGGUUUCAUCUGACAGAAUUCCACGAGUUUUGUUGUUUAUCUAUUUCUGCAGGGGGUUAUCAGGAAAUAAGGAAGAAAGGCCCACAUGUCGGGAUUACAUAGAGAUAUCAAUGCACCGCACGAUUUUCUACCAUCUAGAAGACUCCAGAAGCCACGGGAAGAAAACAGAGGCCGAAAGGGGCCAGGCCCAGGGCACCCGCCCUGGUGACCUGGGCGCCCGUCCCCUGUUCGAUGCCAAUCGGGACUCUCUUCGCAUGGGAUGUUCCACCGACCUAUUGGAUCAAGGAAAAUAUAGUACCACCUCGCCUACCGACCCAAAAACGCAUAGAGGAGGAAGACUAUAUAAGGAGACCCCCCUGGCCCCUAGAGAAGACAAGAAAUUAUCAUAGAGAUUGAGGGGUGCCCUCGAAGGAAAACCUCUUCUCUAAUUAAUAUUUCUUUUUAGGCUUAGCAACCAAUGUAAAGUAGAAAUAGAUCUUCUAGUUUCUACUAGAUUGAGAGAGAUAGAGUGGAGGUGUAGAUUGGAGGAAGCCCAGCCUGUCGGUGUCUACUCCAAGCUUGUACCUACGGGAUCAAGUUCUCCUAACCCGAAGCUUGCUCCUAGGAUUCUUCAGUAUUUCGACUUCUAAAUUCUAGUAAGUUCUUGUUUUAUUGUUCUUCUGGUUUAUGAGUUUACUUUAAUCUCUUCACGUAGAGUUUAGAGUAAUCAUUGCUGGCGUAAACGUGGUGUUUAGGUUGGGGUACUCAUAGAUAUUCCCUGACUAGCUGGACCGUGGUAGUAGUGAGGAACGUGACAAUUCCGAGUUACCUUUGCAGACCAUAUCUCGUUAGCAGGAAGGAUAGGGUUUAUAGGUGCGGGUUGAACAUCCUUUGUGGUGUCAAGAUUCCGUUAGCCUCCCCAAUAGAACAGUAGAUCAUCCUUACCAAGGUUAGAAGGAGACUAUGGUUGCAGUCUUCUUUAUUUAUCACUCACAUCGAGAGACAUUCUUUGUUUCCUAAAGGGUUAGUAGUAAUAGACCGGUUAGUCAGAUGCACUCUUUCUCCUAGUGGUCAAAAAAUAAAUACGAUACUCUGGAUAACCUCCCGGGUGAAGUGCUCACCGAUAUCCGUGCGCUUGCGGAUCAAUUCCUUAUUGCGUUCCCAAAUAUCAACAAGCAUUUUUGGCGCCGUUGCCGGGGAGAAAGAUGGUUGCUGGGAUAACCUUGAGUCUUACUACUAGCUUGUAUCUAUACUUUUAUCUUUUCUUAUCUUUUAUAUUCUUUAUUUAUUUUCUUUACUCUUACCUUAUGGAAAACCAAAAUUCUAAAUCGAUCCAUGAGUCUGCAAUCCCUUCAGUAACUGACCUUUUACCAUGGGAGUCAUCACAGCCUAUCCAAACAUCCCAGUAUAAGUUAAGUUCUAGGUUGAUUGCCAUGAUUCAAAACCUAUCUUUUUCGGGAAAGGAAGACGAAAACCCUUACCUUCAUAUUAUAGAUUUUGAGCAAACAUGUGAUUGUCUUCGCAUUGAAGGCAUUUCUGAUAAAACUUUACGUUGGAAGCUUUUUCCUUUUUCUUUAAGGGGUGAAGCUAGACAAGGGUACAGUCAGAAGGUAAGUCAACAAUGAGGUGAAUGGGGAGUUUUACGAGCCAACUUUUGUCUAGAUUUCUAUUCCCUUGACCGUAUAGCCGACCUUAGACUCGAAGUCCUAUCUUUUAAACAAAAAGAUAAUGAAACUUUGGGAAAAUCCUAGAAACGUUUUUCUAAUCUUUUAGAAUCUGGUCCAAACCUUAAUCUUGAAGACCCUGUUCUUUUAUUCCACUUUUUCCGAGGUCUUCAGAAAGAUCACAAACAAAUGCUACACACAAUGUCUAGAGGUUCUUUCUUUCGAAUCCCUACUAAUGAAGCUAGAGUGAUCCUAGAUAGAAUCCUAGAAGUUGAGAUGGAUAAUACCCUUCAUGAUGAAACCUACGAAGCCGAAGUAGACACUCUGCCAAAUUCUUCAUCUACUUUAGCUAUCCCAAGUUCUGAGACACAAGAGGAAGAAAUUCCACCACCGGACUUCAUGCUGGAUAUAGAAUCCGAUCUUUUUGCCAAUUUUGGAAAUAUUUCAAACUACCAUUCUAUUGACAAACCCCAAAACGGCCAGUUUAGCAUUUAUUUGUCCAGGGAAUAUCAAUUGAGAGAGCUUAUCUCAGUCAUGAGUAGCGAAUGGUUGGAGGAAUCAGAGCUUACCUCUGAUGUGAUCCGUUUGGACACACCCUCUAUAACUAUACGCUGUGCUUAUAAUUCUGAUUGAUUUAAUGCUCUUUAUAAUCCUAUUGUGGGGAUCAACAUCAUGUCUGAAUCUUUUGCACUUAAACUAUUUAAAACUCUUGUCUUAACCCCCACAACAAAGGUCAUAAAGGAAUCUUCGAUACGAUUAGUCCACAGUCUUGGAAUUAUUAAUGUCCUACCUCUUACAGUAGAAGGCUCAAUGGUUCAUUUGAACUUCUAUAUCUUUGAUACAUGGGACUUCGACCUGUUGAUAGGACAACCUUUUAGAAGACUCCUUUAUGAAGGUCAUACUGGAAAGCUACACAUUUCUUUUGGAAAAACCUUUAAAUUCCCAAUAACAAUUUCACACUCCUUAAACAAUAAGGCCGAAUCAUAUCUUUUGGCUGAUCCUAUGGAGGAGGAAAAGGCUGCAUCUCUAGAGCUUCUAGAAGAACCAGACUUAGAAGACGAAACUCCUUUCUUCAUAGAAGAAGAAGCCGAACCUUCUGAACCUGAACCCUUAGAUGAGUUUGCAGAAACACCUAGACCCCUCAUAGAGCUUAAAACUUUACCACCCGGUCUUACAUAUGCUUUCCUAAACAAUAAUCCAGAGUUCCCUGUAAUCAUUAGCGAUAAACUCACUCAGGAUCAAACGUUGCGAUUAAUGACCAUUCUUGAGAAACAUCACUCAGUGUUCGGCUACUCACUCCAAGAUCUUACAGGAAUCAGUCCUAUGAUUUGUACCCAUCGUAUUCCAACAGAUCCUUCUGUUUCACCCUCUCAAGAACCCCAACGUAGACUUAACAACACUGUUGAUAUUUGGGAACGCAAUAAGGAAUUGAUCCGCAAGCGCACGGAUAUCGGUGAGCACUUCACCCAGGAAAUUAUCCAGAGUAUCGUAUUUAUUUUUUUACCACUAGGAGAAAGAGUGCAUCUGACUAACCGGUCUAUUACUACUAACCUUUAGGCACAAAGAAUGUCUUUCGAUGUGAGUGAUAAAUAGAGAAGACUGCAACCGUAGUCUCCUUCUAACCUUGGUAAGGAUGAUCUACUAUUCUAAUGGGGAGGCUAACGGAAUCUAGACACCACAAAGGAUGUUCAACCCGCACCUAUAAACCCUAUCCUUCCUGCUAACGAGAUGUGAUCUACAAAGGUAGCUCGGAAUUGUCACGUUCCUCACUACUACCACGGUCCAGCUAGUCAGGGAAUAUCUAUGAGUACCCCGGCCUAAACACCAUGUUUACGCCAGCAAUGAUUACUCUAAACUCUACGCGAAGAGAGUAAAGUAAACUCAUAAACCAUAAGAACAAUAAAACAAGAACUUACUAGAAUUUAGAAGUCGAAUUACUGAAGAAUCCUAGGAGCAAGCUUCGGGUUAGGAGAACUUGAUCCCACAGGUACAAGCUUGGAGUAGACACCGACAGGCUGGGCUUCCUCCACUCUUCACCUCCACUCUAUCUCUCUCAAUCUAGUAGAAACUAGAAGAUCUAUUUCUACCUUACAUUGGUUGCUAAGCCUAAAAAAGAAAUAUUAAUUAGAGAAGAGGUUUUCCUUCGAGGACAUCCCUCAGUCUCUAUGAUAAUUUCUUCAUGUCUUCUCCAGGGGCCAGGGGGCCUUGCUUAUAUAGUCCUCCCCUUCUUUGCAUUUUUGGGUCGAUAGGCGAGGUGGUACUAUGUUUUUUUUGAUCCAGUAGGUCGGUGGAAUAUCCCGAGCGAAGAGAGUCCUGAUCUGGCUCCAGAGGGGGGCGGGCGCCCAGGCUACCAGGGCGGGCGCCCUGGGCCUGGCCCCGUUUCGCCUCCGCUUCGGUCUCGUGGCGUCUGGAGUCUUCUAGAUGAUGUAAAAUCGUGUGGUGCGUUGAUAUCUCUAUGUAAUCCCGACAUGUGGGCCUUUCUUCCUUAUUUCCUUAUAUCCCCCUGCAGAAACAGAUAAACAACAAAACUCGUGGAAUUCUGUCAGAUCAAACCCUAAUUCUAGGUGUUGGUUGCAUAUUGGUCCUUUCUCUUGUUUAUUUGAUAAUUAAAAUUGAUACUUAAGAACCGUCAACAAAUACCCCCAUACUUAGGCUUUUACUCGUCCUCGAGAAAAGGAUGGUUAAGAAAAAUAUCUGGGGUAAACAUUUAAAAACAUUCUUUAUAUUUGCAGGGUGUUAAAAAUCAACUGUGUACCAUAGUCAGGGAUGUUUAUGGUUAAGAGUAAAGAUCAUUUCUUCUCAAUCCUGUCACUUGGAGUUUUUGUAUAUUUUUGAAAGAAAGUUAGCAUACCUUUUUAUCCUCAUAGGUUCUCUUAGAUCACUCAUUAGCUUUUACAUAUAUCUCAUGAGGCUGUUUUAUUUUGCAAAAAUUCUCAAGCAUUCUUACUUUGCAUUUAUUGCCUGAUCAAAACGGGAUCCGAGGAGGGGAAUGUCAUACUCUUAGAUCAAAGACUUUGAAAUUAAAAUCUUUGUCAACUCUUGCUGGCAUAUUGCUUAUUAGAGGGACCAUGGGCUAUCAUUUUUCUCUCUUUUUUUUUAAGUGGAUACUGAGGUACCCCUAAUUCUACUACCGGACACUUGUCCAUUUUUUUUCUGCGAGGUUAUCGAGCACUUGCUCCUUUUUAUUUCCUCGAAAUAUUUCUAUUUUUGCAUAGCCCAUGCCUCUAAUGCAAUAAUACUUCGGAAGAGUGAAUCUUACUGAAAUAAUGUCUUGAUCUUAGGAGCAUGAUAAAUCUCUCAACAAGGAUCUAACUCAUUUUGAACAAACUCAAUACAGAGCAGAUAGCUUUUAUAAUCAUAAUUAAUAUUUUCAGUUUUAUCAGGCAUAUAAAACACUGAGGAUGGUAGCUAGAAAUUUGAAUAUUUUGAAAUAAAUUCUCCAAGCAACAAUGAUAUCA
rnacentral:lncRNA from 1 species